rnacentral:tRNA from 1 species
GCCCUUGUAGCUCAAUGGUGGAGUACCUCCUUGGUAAGGAGAAGGUCAUGGGUUCGAUUCCCAUCAAGGGCU